rnacentral:lncRNA from 1 species
GUAGUUGUGGAGAGAGCGAGCCAGGAAGCGAGGCGAGCUGGAUCCACCUCCGACCCUUAAGCCAGAGACUCAGCCACCAGAGAAACGGCGGAGAACAAUUGAGGAUUUCAACAAAUUCUGCAGUUUUGUUUUGGCAUAUGCUGGUUACAUUCCCCCUAGCAAAGAGGAAAGUGACUGGCCAGCCUCUGGCUCCAGCUCUCCAUUGCGAGGAGAGAGUGCGGCCGACAGUGAUGGCUGGGACUCGGCCCCCUCAGAUCUUCGAACCAUCCAGACUUUUGUUAAGAAAGCAAAGUCAUCCAAGAGAAGGGCAGCUCAAGCAGGUCCCACCCAGCCAGGACCCCCAAGGUCCACUUUCUCUCGUCUGCAGGCCCCCGACAGUGCUACCUUGCUUGAGAAGAUGAAGCUCAAGGACUCUCUCUUUGAUCUGGAUGGGCCCAAAGUGGCAUCUCCUUUGUCCCCCACAUCCCUGACACAUACCUCCCGGCCCCCUGCUGCUCUUACCCCCGUGCCCCUUUCCCAGGGGGACCUCUCCCAUCCUCCUCGAAAGAAGGACCGAAAGAACCGAAAGUUGGGGC